CAGCAGCCGCGGGAAUACGAAGGGUGCAAGCGUUAAUCGGAAUUACUGGGCGUAAAGCGUGCGUAGGCGGUUUGUUAAGUCUGUUGUGAAAUCCCCGGGCUCAACCUGGGAAUGGCAAUGGAUACUGGCAAGCUAGAGUGUGUCAGAGGAUGGUGGAAUUCCCGGUGUAGCGGUGAAAUGCGUAGAGAUCGGGAGGAACAUCAGUGGCGAAGGCGGCCAUCUGGGGCAACACUGACGCUGAGGCACGAAAGCGUGGGGAGCAAACAGGAUUAGAUACCCCGGUAGUCCCUGUCUCUUAUAA
rnacentral:rRNA from 1 species